GGUCAGCUCGAACACGACCGAUUCGUGCGGCGCAAGCGCGAUCCGAUCCGGCGUGAACACGAAGCGUCGCGCGUGCACCUUGAUCACGCGUGGCGCCGCCGCACGCACGCGCGACGCGUCGACGCCCGCGAGCGCGGCGAGUGCCGCGCUGCUCGCGGCGAAGAGCCAGCGGCGGCGCGGCCAGGACGGCGCGCUCGCGCGAGCCCGGCCGCGGAGCGCGCGCGGAUCGAAGAAAAAAUGGCGCAUCGCAGUCUCCUCAGGCGCGCGGUUGCGGUUGGGGCGCGGCGACGGGCAUCUCGGUCAACGCGGGCGCGCGCGCCGCGUCGCCGACGCGCACUUCGCGCCAGCCGAGCCCGCGAUACGGCGCGGCGGCGUCCCACGGCACCGGCAGGCGCUUGUCCUGCGAGCCGGGCGCGGGUAGCGGAAACAUCAGCGAGCGCGCCGCGUGGUGCGCGAUGUGGCCCGUCAUCGCGUGGUGCUCCUGAUGGAUGUGUCCGUAGAACACGGUGACGUUCGGAUAGGGCAUCAGCACGUCGACGACUUUCGCGCCGUCGCGCGUGGCCCAGUCCCAUUGCGGCGCGAGAUCGAAGAGCGGCCGGUGCGUGAAGACGACGAUGCGCGCGUCCUUCGGCUGUCGCGCGAGAUCCCGCGCGAGCCAUUCGAUCUGCGCGUCGCCGACGCGGCCGGCCGGAUCCGACACGUUGUCGACGACGACGAAAUGCACGCCCUUGUGAUCGAACGCGUAAUGGGUGUCGCCGAAGAUCUCGCGGUACGCGGCGCCUGCAUCGAGGCUCGCGUCGUGCUCGCCCGGCAUCAGGUGCAGCGGCUUCGCCCGCAGUUGCGCGACGAUCGACUGAAACUGCCGCAUCCGUGCGCGGCGCUCGGCCGGAUCGUCGGUCGUGUGCGUCAGAUCGCCCGUGAACAUCACGAAGUCGGGCGCGACGGGCAGCGCGUUGACGGCCUCGAUCGCCUUCGGCAGCGUGCCGCGCGCGUCGGGGUUGAUCGCGGGGCCGGUGAAGCCCCAGUGCGCGUCGGAGAGCUGGACGAAGAAGAAAUCCGCGCCGGCGUUCGCGGCGAAGCUCCAGCCGGGCAGCGCGGAAGCGAACGCGACGCCGCCGCCGCAGGCGGCAAGGCGCAGGAAAUCGCGCCGUUUCAAGGGUUGGAUGGGAUUCGGCAUGGCGGCUCCUUCGCAAGUGGGGUGCAUGCAAUACCGCCGUCGCCGCGCGGAUAUUCCCGGUUUAUUUUUUGUCUCCGGGCGUGGAUCGCGGGAAUAAACUGGAUCGACGGGCGGUAAGGAUGCCUGAGCGCAUGCGCGCCGUGAUCGGCGGCGUGCGUCGGACGCAAGCGGCCGGCGGGCGGCCGCGCAUCGCGGGGAGGCGACGUGGGUCAAUUCGGCCGGGCGGUCGACGAACAUGGCGCGGACGCCGCGCACGGCAGCGAUCGGACGGCCGGCGCGGCCGCCGACGCGGCGGCGCGCGGCGAGCGUUUUCGCGCGCUCGCGCUGCCGCAUCUGGACGCCGCAUACAACCUCGCGCGCUGGCUGUGCGGCAAUUCGAGCGACGCGGACGACGUCGUGCAGGAGGCGUGCAUGCGCGCGUUGCGCUUUCUCGAUUCGUGCCGCGGCGACAACGCGCGGCCGUGGCUGCUGACGAUCGUGCGCCAUACCUGGUACAGCGAAUGGCGGCGGCGGGCGAACGCGCACGAAGUGGCCGCCGACGCGCUCGACGCGGCCGAUUCGACGGACGAUUGGCAUCCGGCGGUGGAGGACCCGCUCGCGCUUCUUUUGCGCAGUGAAGACGCGCAUCGCGUGAACGCCGCGCUCGCGAAGCUGCCGCCCGAAUAUCGGGAGGUGCUCGUUUUGCGCGAAAUGGAGGACAUGAGUUACCGCGAGAUUGCGGCAAUCGCGGACCUGCCGGUCGGGACGGUGAUGUCGCGGCUCGCACGGGCGCGGCGGCGGUUCGCGGCGACGCUCGGCGGCGCGCCCGCGUCGCGGUCGGCCGCGCAGGUGCACCCGGGCGAGCGCGCGGCGCAGCGCGAACGCGGCGCGCCGGCAUCCGGAACCGCAUCGGAGGCCAUCGAUGGACUGUAACGAAACGCGUGCGCUGCUCGGCGCGGAUGUCGACCACGAGCUUUCCGCGGCCGAUGCGUGGCGGAUCGCGCGGCACGUCGGCGGAUGCGGCGCGUGCCGUCUCGAGCGCGAGCGGCUCGUCGCGCUUCGCCGCGCGAUGCGGCAGGCGGAGUACCAUCGCGCGCCGGGCGCGCUGCGCGCCCGCAUUGCCGCGGGCUUGCCGUUGGCGGCGGCGCCGUUCGCGCAAGCGCCGGUUCAGGAUCUGCCCGCUUCGGACGUGCCGGUUUCGGACAUGCCGGUCUCGGACAUGCCGGUCUCGGAUGCGCCUGAACAGGACACGCCCUCGCAGGACAUGCGCGCGCCCAACAAACCGGCGGUGGAUCGCCCGCCCGAAGCGAAGCCGAGGUUCGGCGCCGACGCGCGCGGCGGCGCGCGGGCGGGCCGCUGGUUCGCGCGGCCGGGCUCGCGCGGCCCGACGCUUGAUCGGCCGGGGCCGGGGCCGGGGCCGCGCGCCGCGGCACUGCCCGGCCUGGGCUGGGGCGUCGCGCUGACGGUCGCGCUGGCGGCCGCGGCCGGCUUCGCGCUCGAUGCGCGCCGCGCGGCGACGGAGCACGCCGUCGACGAAAUCGUCGCGAGCCACGUGCGAGCCGGGCUGUCGUCACGGGACAUCGACGUGAUCUCGACCGAUCGCCAUACCGUCAAGCCGUGGUUCAACGGCCGCCUCGAUUUCGCGCCACCCGUCGUCGACCUGAGCGCAAGCGGCUUCGCGCUGGCGGGCGGCCGGCUCGACUAUGUCGGGCAGCGCCGCGUCGCGGUGCUCGUCUACCGCUACCGGCAGCAUGUGAUCGACGUCUACGUGUGGCCGUCGGGCGAGGGCGGGGCGAGGCCCUACGCGACCGUGUCGCAGGGUUAUGCGCUCGAUCGCUGGGAGGCGGCCGGCAUGACGUGGUGGGCGGUAACCGACGCGGAGCCGUCCGCACUCGCGGCGUUCAGGACGGCGCUCGAUGCGCGCGUGGCCG
rnacentral:rRNA from 1 species